rnacentral:rRNA from 1 species
CAGCAGCCACGGGAAUACGUAGGGUGCGAGCGUUAAUUGGAAUUACUGGGCGUAAAGCGUGCGCAGGCGGUUUUGUAAGACAGAGGUGAAAUCCCCGGGCUCAACCUGGGAACUGCCUUUGUGACUGCAAGGCUAGAGUACGGCAGAGGGGGAUGGAAUUCCGCGUGUAGCAGUGAAAUGCGUAGAUAUGCGGAGGAACACCGAUGGCGAAGGCAAUCCCCUGGGCCUGUACUGACGCUCAUGCACGAAAGCGUGGGGAGCAAACAGGAUUAGAUACCCCUGUAGUCCCUGUCUCUUAUAC